AGUUUUAUGGUGUAAGAAACACAACGGGCUGUAAAUUCGUUAAUGCUAAGGCUGAAACUG
rnacentral:tRNA from 1 species